CAGUGCUCACUUUUCGAAAAUUUCGAAGUUCAGCUUUUCCUCCUCGAUUUUCGGGACCUUGUCCGCGUCCAGUUGAGUUGCCGACAGUGCGAUGUAUAUGCGAAAAUAGAUGCGCCCUUCUGUUGUAGUUCGUCGAGGACGAGACCUGAGUGAAACAUGGCGUUUGCAGGAGCGCGAAAUUUUCUCGUAAAAGCGUUGCCAGCAAAGGGUGCCGUGGCCAACUUUCACACUGGACAAUUCUGUGCCGCCGUUCUCACAAACCGUGACUGGAAACCUGGUCCCUACCCAAAGACGGAGGCCGAACGUCGGGCAGCAGCUAAAAAGUACAAUAUGAUCUACGAGGAUUACAAGCCGUACCCUGAAAAUCAUGAUGACACCAUGGGAGAUUACCCUAUGCUGCCUGCACUCGGAUUGGAAAGCAAGAAUCCCUAUGCUGCAUAUGAUUUCCCGGCCUAUCGGCGAAACUAUGGCGAACCAAUUAUGCACGAUUUCGAUAUGUACACUCGUGAAAGGUGGAACGUUACCGAAAGGCACCAUGUGACUCUAAUAAGACAACUGUUUGCCUUCUUAGGAGUAGUCGGCGCUGUAGCGGGAUAUCAUGCUUUAUCUGAAUAUUACAGCUUUUACUGCGAGCUUUCACCUGAUCACUCGUAAUUGUUUAGCAGUUGGAAUCGUAUAAUGCAAAUGGAUUUCAAAAACUGUUGAUGUGCCCAUUACCAAGCAGUACCCUCGGGAGGGAGUGGUGCACUAUACCUUUGAGCCCGCAGAUUAGGAUUUAAUUAGUAUGACAAUUUUUUGUUGCAAGUAUGAGGCUAAUAAACAUGUAUCAAGUUAGUCACUUGGUGUGCAUUUUUUCUUUAACAGUGCAGAAUCUUCUUGGUUACCAGCUACGUCUACACUCGCUGAUAAUCUACCUACCUACAAAGCAUGGCUCUUUUAAAACUGCACGAACACUAUGUCGAAGCCCAUUUUAUGUAUUUCGGCAUUGAACUCCGCCUUCAGUACAAGAGGGCAAUCACGAUCAAAACCAAUCUUUGUAUGGCGUAGUUUAUCAAACAACGAAGCUAUUUGUUGUUUGACUUUAACGAGCCGAAGGUUAAAAAAAUUUAGAGGUCCAUCUGGUUUAUAGAAGGAUAUAUACGAAACUGUCAAUUUUGUAUAGACCUGCAAGUAUCUAGUAGAAUGUCAAUUAAAACUGCCCACACAUGAGCAGCUAGUUGCACAAAUAGAAAGACUUUGUAUAAAGUCGUCGACUACCAACAUGUUAAGAUCAAUUUGAAGGCAUCAGAUCAAGCCUACGUUACAUCAGUUGCCGAUGAGCUUUGAGGUUCCUAUCAUGAUUGCGCACUUAACGAGCUGAUAAUGUUAAAUUAACUCGUGUUUAUAGAUCGGAUAACUCGUUAAAAAUCCAAUGCGCGUAGAUACCGUUUAACCAACCUAUAUCAUUCGGUAUUCCAGAUACUGUUAUUAGGAUGUAGUAAAAUUUUCAGUUUGACUACUGUCGGUACUAUUUUACGCUUUGAUAAGUACUAAGAGGAUUGGCUGCACUAUUAUCUACUUAAAACCGGGCUAAUCCUAUUCUUAAAAAAUGGCGUAGCUUUUUUUAGUUGGGUUUGUGAGACCAGCCCAAUUGAUUCAAGCCAUAUUAGCUUGACUACCCUUAUACAUAUCCAGAUAAAAUCCUUUUCUUGCUGUUUGUAGAUAACGCCCAUUAAUGUGUUAAACCUAAUUCUCGGUUACCACUUUCUUUAAUAAGGGAUCACAUUCACAUAAUUGUUAGUGGGCUCUAGGAGCACAUUUCUUUCUUUUAAAACUUUCGGUGAACUUGCCCUUCUUCGACGCAUAAAGCGGUGCGGUAAUUGCUAUUUGUGUCAUACUUAAAUACAUAAAUAAGUGUCAGGUGCACAGAAAAACGCUUUUUUAGGUGAAUCGAAUAAGAACGGUUUUUACAUCAUAUAAAACUAAAUAUUAAUUUACCAUAAGAUUACUCGAUAUUUUCGUCAAAACGUCUCGGCAUCUUCCCAUUUAUUUUUAUAAUAAUUAGUAAUCGUCGUUUCACCUUUGUUUUUCACAUCAUAUUCAUACAGCAUUUGCUAUUUGUGUAUUUUCAAUCAAGCCGUUCUCGCCGUUUUAGCCAUCGCCACUGUGGCAUGCUGUUAACGACCCUACUGUCGCAUUCUUUAGAUAUUUCAAUAAUUCACGUUCACUUCAUUGUUCUUUCCCAGACCGCCGUGGUCAUCAGAUGUGUGCUCCAUACAUCACCCUAGGUACUCCUUGAAAAUAGUACGCCUGUUAGACGCAUUCGUUAGUAGCUCUGUGUGAAUGGGUGCGUGUAUAUGUGUAUGUAUGUGUGAAUGUGGCUGUGUGUCCGUGAAUCUGUGAGUGUGUCUGUGUGUAUGUUUGUGUAUGUCUGUGUGUCUGUGCGUGUUAUCUGGUAUCGCCUUAUUCUAAUAGUGUAAAAGUUGCGUGAGCGACGACCUGGAUACUUGUGGCAUGUUCCUUAAUUUGUUUUUAGAUGGUGUGCAAAUGUGUUUUUUUUGCUUUCGUAGGUCUUUCUGUUUGUAUUUUUAUGUUUAUGUUUGUACGUUUAUGUUGUUGUUGUAGUCCUACUUUGUGUUUGUAGGUUUCUGCAAGGAUCAAGGCUGGCAGGUGUCUUCCCUCUGUUCCACUGUUGAGAGUAAUAUGAUAAUAUUAGAAAAGAAAUAACAGUUUUUAUUUUACACGUGUGUACUUUCUACAAUCUAGUCGCAUCCAGCAAAACUAUUUGUUGUGGUGACGCUCAGUUUACUGAUACCUUAUUGCGAGGUCAAUGUAUGGUGCGCCUGUCUGUCUGCAACGUACUUAUGUUUUUCUCUUUGUUAUAGGCAAUUCUAUGGAUGUCUCUAUUUUCACCUCGACUAUACAAAGCUUCUUCCAGCUGUUGCCGUCGAUCCGCUUAGCUUGAACGCAGAAAAUGUAUUAGCAUCGCACUUACUGGUAUAUUUCCGCUUUUCACAUUUUUUUUUAUUAACACCACACCGUGAAUAAAUAACUAAUCUAUUUAACUA